CCCUUAGAUGUUCUGGGCCGCACGCGCGCUACAAUGGCAGACUCAGCGAGUUACCUCUGUCGAAAGGCACAGGGAAUCUUUACAGUAUCUGCCGUGAUGGGGAUAGACCCUUGUAAUUUUUGGUCUUCAACGAGGAAUUCCUAGUAAACGCAAGUCAUUAACUUGCAUUGAUUACGUCCCUGCCCUUUGUACACACCGCCCGUCGCUCCUACCGAUUGAGUGGUCCGGUGAGGCUUUGGGAUCUGAGCGGAAAGAGCGUUUCGCUGUUUCUGCUCGGAAAACUCAGUCGAACCUUAUCAUUUAGAGGAAGGAGAAGUCGUAACA
rnacentral:rRNA from 1 species